rnacentral:lncRNA from 1 species
GGUAAAGUUUCAUCUAUUCAUUCUGAUCAAUCUGAUGUGUUAAUGGUGGAUGUGGCAACCAGUAUGCCUGUUGUUAUCAAGGAGGUGCCAAGCUCAGAGGCUGCUGAAGAUGUCAUGGUGGCUGCUCCUCUUGUGUGUUCUGGAAAGGUGCUAGAAGUGCAGGUUGUGAACCAAACAUCUGUCCAUGUAGAUUUGGGUUCUCAACCUAAAGAAAAUGAGGC